rnacentral:sRNA from 1 species
AUGUGGGGCGAGCAAAUAAAAAUAAAAAUAAAAAAAAGAAGAGGACGAGGAAGAGGGUUAAUAACCAAAAAAAAAAAAGAAAAAAAAAAAAAAAGAAGCCAAACAGCGAACCCUGCAUCGUCAUGCUCCUUGCAGCGAGAAAAAACCAAAAUCCCACCUCUGGCGCCAACCAACCCACUCCGUGGCCAGACUCUGUUGGUCUGAAACAACAGCGCAACAGCAAGGGCGUUUCGUUUUCCACGCAUCCACAUCCACAUCCACAUCCACAUCCACAUCCACGGUGGGAUUGGUAUGAAGCAUGAUGGCGGGAGGGCAGGCGGGGGAUUCUUUUCUGAGUCAUGGAGGAUGAAUAAUUGUAACUAUAACCUGACUUAACAGAAGCAAACCUGAAUGAAUGCCUGCGUCUGUUGUGUGUAUACGCUAUAUGGGUGUGUUAUGUGUGUUACUGCGCUCUCGGGAAAAGAUCAUUUCGUCACCACGUUGCCACGGACAAUGUACUGUAGCCCAGUAUCAGCACAGUGUACCUGCAUCUUCCAGCACCACGAUUCGUUCCAUUUGUUCCAGUCGUUCCAGCGCAUCACGCAUCACGCAUCACGCAUCACGAAGA